CUGUGUGUUCUCUCUCUGGGCA
rnacentral:piRNA from 1 species